UAUAUAAAUUUAGGUCUCCACAAACCUAGGGACUUACAGCGCUGCUCGCCACGAGUGCUUAGAAAAGAUACGCAGCUUUCUAGGGCGGAGGAGUUGAGAUCGAAGAACAUGGAGGAGGUGCUGAAGCCCUUCUAUGAGAGGGCAGCUGAAGCCGAGGAACGCAUAAUGAGGUUGGAGACAUUGCUUGGCAAUAAAAAAGGAGAUUCAAAUUAUGAGAGCAAGCAAAUGUCGUCUAUUAUUAAUGACUUCCAGUCAAAGUUAGAAAUAGCCCAAGCCCAACUUGAUUCUGAACAAGAGAAGGCUUCAAAGGAGAUUCGAAGGCUAGUUGAUGAGAAUUUGAAGCUUCGCUAUCGUAUUUCUCAUCUGAUACAAGCGGUGAAAGAAGCAGAUUCCAAAUUAAACGUGCAUUAAAGGCCGAAAUGAUCAAAACAAAAUAUAUUUUGUCAACCUUCCAGAUUUCAAAUCUGAUAUUGCCCUUGAAAGGAGCAAGCGAACGAAGCAUUGCUUUCCAUCCUGUGUUUGUGAUUUAGGGAAUGUUUGGGGUAGCAGCAACUUAUCCAACUUAUUCAUAUAAGCAGCUGAUUCGGAUAAGCUGUUGAUCGGCAGCUGAUCUGGAUAAACUGGUUGGCUGUUUGGUUUGUUCAUUUGGAAAAUAACUAAUUUGCAGUUGUUUCUAGAUAAAUGACCAUUAUGCCUCCAGUCUGAAUAAACUGUCUAGCGUUUGGUUUGUGCGUCUGGAAAACAGCUGAUUUGCAGCAUUUUGUGGAUAAAUGACACUUCUGGCACUAUGCAGCGU